rnacentral:rRNA from 1 species
AAUCUUGCACAAUGGGGGUAACCCUGACGUAGUGUCGCCGCGUGAGUGAAGAAGUAUUUCGGUAUGUAAAGCUCUAUUAGCAGGGACGAGAAUAACGGUACAUGGGUAAGUAACCCCGGCUAACCACAUGCCAUAAGCCGCGGUAAUACGUAGGGGUCAAGCGUUAUCCAGAUUUACUGGGUGUAAGGGGAGUGUAGGUUGCGAAGUAAGUUGGAUGGGAAAUUCCGGGGCUUAACCCUGGACAUGCAUUCAAAACUGCUUUGCUAGAGUGCAGGAGAGGUAAGUGGAAUUACUGGUGUAGCGGUGAAAUGCGUAGAUAUUAGGAAGAACACCAGUGGCGAAGGCGACUUACUGGACUGUAACUGACACUGAGGCUCGAAAGCGUGGGGAGCAAACA